UUAUUCCCGAAAUUAUAAAUUGAGUCAAAAAAAGGGCAUUGAUUUUGCCGGCCCCGGCUCCUACAUGGUUUUCGAUAUUUAAAAAUAUUGUUAUUAAUGAUUAAAGUACCUGAAAUGAUUAAGCAUGGUAUUUGGUAUUUGGUAUUUGACAGUUCGCUUUGAGGAAUUUUGCCAACAUUCGUCACAAUUUUUCGAGGUAAAGAAACCAAAAAAUGGUGUUCAAGAAUUUUAGAUGGUUCUGUGCGUUUUACCAUUUCAAUAUGCAAUAUGUUUCUCAUCAUCGUAGUUCAAUAUUUAUGCUAGUGUUCACAAAAAAUCUAUCCAAAAAAUUAGAUGCAUAGGCUUUAAUAAUUCUACCACUAAUGCAUGCAAUAAUCAAGUACUUAAUUUCUCAAUAGACGAGUUGGUAAACGUUGGUGUCCUCUUAUCUGGUGCAUUGGCUUUUUAUAAUUUUGCUAAUAUUUCAAUUUGCACUAAAAACUACAGUAUGCAUAAGUUGUAUUAUGUGUUCCAGAAUUGUGUAGUAGUUUGUAAUCUCCCCUUGUAAUAAGUUUUUGUCAGCGGUUUUCUUGGGAGAAAUACUAUCAUUCUUGUAAUUCAGCAAGUUAAUGUAAAAGUAUAUCGUAGCGGUUA
rnacentral:lncRNA from 1 species